UGUAAAUGGUUUUUCAGCUAAUUGCAUUUGUUGUACGAUUUUAUAUAUAUUAUUGCAUUGCUCAAUGAGCAUUGAUAGAUGUGCGUAUGUGUGUGUGUGUG